rnacentral:lncRNA from 14 species
AUGUGGAGGAAGACAGAAAGCAAGAGUCUGAGAGCAAUUCUCCUUUGAGGACUUAAAGGCUAUGGGCAAGUCAACUCAUGAUCUUUCAAGGACAAAGAAAAAUGAUCAAUCUCAGUACCUGACAGAUUGACAGCUGGUUACUAUCCAUACCUUGAUCACUGUUUACUUAGCAGCUGAGCCAAGAGAUUUCCUAUAUAUCUCCUCAAGAUACUGGAAUAAGAUUUGGACAGACAUCUAAUGACUAAGGAUGACAUGAGUUCCACGGUUGGUCACUGAUCCACUGUUAGCAUUCACUGAACCCACUGAAUUGGGAGCACUGGAUAGAUGCAAGUUUCCUGAAAUUCACAGCACAGGGAACAUGGUAGAGGAAUCUUCUGGCAUGAUAAAGGGGACCUGGGGCUUGGUCAAGAUUGAGUCUACCUGUCAUUCCCAGCAGGGAUGGACCUAAAAUCUUCAGGAAUGGGAAAUUCUCUGUCUCCCUAAGCAAUGCAUAGAAGGUUUCUUUCCCCACACCAUUACACAAAUUUUGGUGGAUGUUUUGUUUGUUUGUUUUUGUACAGAUGUCUGCACUGAUUCAUCCUUGUUGUGAUUUGACCCUCUGACUAUUUAGCCUGUUUGCAUUGGACACUGAGAACUUGAAAAUAAUGUUUUAGCUCUUUCUUCAGUAUGAUAUUUUUACACUGCAGAUUCCCUCAAUUUUUGCUGGGAACUUUCGACUAUUUCAGG